CACGGCGCACGGGAGCGUAACACGUGGGCAAUCUGCCCUCCGAUGGGGAAUAACCCCGCGAAAGCGGGGCUAAUUCCGCAUAACAUUCCUUGGACUUAGGUUUGAGGAUUCAAAGCAGCAAUGCGUCGGAGGAGGAGCCCGCGCCCGAUUAGCUAGUUGGUGAGGUAACGGCUCACCAAGGCAAUGAUCGGUAGCUGGUCUGAGAGGAUGAUCAGCCACACUGGAACUGAGACACGGUCCAGACUCCUACGGGAGGCAGCAGUGGGGAAUCUCGCACAAUGGGCGAAAGCCUGAUGCAGCGACGCCGCGUGGGGGAUGAAGCUUCUCGGAGUGUAAACCCCUUUCGACUGGGACGAAUGCCCGCAAGGGAGUGACGGUACCAGUAGAAGAAGCCCCGGCUAACUACGUGCCAGCAGCCGCGGUAAGACGUAGGGGGCCAGCGUUGUUCGGAAUUACUGGGUGUAAAGGGUUCGUAGGCGGUGUGGCAAGUUGGGAGUGAAAUCUCUGGGCUCAACCCAGAGGCUGCUUCCAA
rnacentral:rRNA from 1 species